rnacentral:rRNA from 1 species
AAUCAACGCUGGCGGCGUGCCUAACACAUGCAAGUCGAGCGAGAGGGAGUAGCAAUACUCUAGUAAAGCGGCGCACGGGUGAGUAACACGUGGGUAAUCUGCCUCGAAGUGGGGAAUAACACCGGGAAACCGGUGCUAAUACCGCAUAAUCUGACGGGAUCUGCGGAUUUUGUCAGCAAAGGAGCAAUUCGCUUUGAGAGGAGCCCGCGGCUGAUUAGCUAGUUGGUGAGGUAAUGGCUCACCAAGGCCACGAUCAGUAGCCGGUCUGAGAGGACGGGCGGCCAGACUGGAACUGGGACACGGUCCAGACUCCUACGGGAGGCAGCAGUGGGGAAUUUUUCGCAAUGGGGGCGAACCUGACGAAGCAACGCCGCGUGGAUGAUGAAGUCUCUUGGGACGUAAAAUCCUUUCGACGGGGACGAAACCGCAAGGUUGACGGUACCCGUAGAAGAAGCCCCGGCUAACUCCGUGCCAGCCGCCGCGGUAAAAC